UUUGUCCUGGCAAAAGUGGUCACCGCAACAGAGUCAAAAUCUGUUCCUCUUCGACUGCGUAGGUUCGAAACCUGCCAAUGAAA